rnacentral:rRNA from 1 species
UACGGCGAGGCAGCAGUGGGGAAUAUUGGGCAAUGGGCGAAAGCCUGACCCAGCAACGCCGCGUGAAGGAAGAAGGCUUUCGGGUUGUAAACUUCUUUUACCGAGGAUGAAGAACGUGACGGUACUCGGAGAAAAAGCCACGGCUAACUACGUGCCAGCAGCCGCGGUAAU